CCAUACUAAACUGUUGCCUCGGCGGGGUCACGCCCCGGGUGCGUCGCAGCCCCGGAACCAGGCGCCCGCCGGAGGGACCAACCAAACUCUUUUCUGUAGUCCCCUCGCGGACGUUAUUUCUUACAGCUCUGAGCAAAAAUUCAAAAUGAAUCAAAACUUUCAACAACGGAUCUCUUGGUUCUGGCAUCGAUGAAGAACGCAGCGAAAUGCGAUAAGUAAUGUGAAUUGCAGAAUUCAGUGAAUCAUCGAAUCUUUGAACGCACAUUGCGCCCGCCAGUAUUCUGGCGGGCAUGCCUGUCCGAGCGUCAUUUCAACCCUCGAACCCCUCCGGGGGGUCGGCGUUGGGGACCUCGGGAGCCCCUAAGACGGGAUCCCGGCCCCGAAAUACAGUGGCGGUCUCGCCGCAGCCUCUCCUGCGCAGUAGUUUGCACAACUCGCACCGGGAGCGCGGCGCGUCCACGUCCGUAAAACACCCAACUUCUGAAAUGUUGACCUCGGAUCAGGUAGGAAUACCCGCUGAACUUAAGCAUAUCAAUAAGCGGAGGAAA
rnacentral:rRNA from 1 species